rnacentral:rRNA from 1 species
GAUCCUGCGUCAGGAUGAACGCUAGCGACAGGCUUAACACAUGCAAGUCGAGGGGCAGCAUGAGGUAGCAAUACCUUGAUGGCGACCGGCGCACGGGUGAGUAACGCGUAUGCAACCUGCCCGAUACCGGGGUAUAGCCCAUGGAAACGUGGAUUAACACCCCAUAGUACUUUUAUCCUGCCUGGGAUGGGAGUUAAAUGUUCAAGGUAUCGGAUGGGCAUGCGUCCUAUUAGUUAGUUGG